rnacentral:rRNA from 1 species
GACGAACGCUGGCGGCGUGCCUAAUACAUGCAAGUCGAGCGGACUUGAAGGAGUGCUUGCACUCCUGAGAGUUAGCGGCGGACGGGUGAGUAACACGUAGGCAACCUGCCCUCAAGACUGGGAUAACUACCGGAAACGGUAGCUAAUACCGGAUAAUUUAUUACAUAGCAUUAUGUGAUAAUGAAAGACGGAGCAAUCUGUCACUUGGGGAUGGGCCUGCGGCGCAUUAGCUAGUUGGUGGGGUAACGGCCCACCAAGGCGACGAUGCGUAGCCGACCUGAGGGGGUGAACGGCCACACUGGGACUGAGACACGGCCCAGACUCCUGCGGGAGGCAGCAGUAGGGAAUCUUCCGCAAUGGGCGAAAGCCUGACGGAGCAACGCCGCGUGAGUGAUGAAGGUUUUCGGAUCGUAAAGCUCUGUUGCCAAGGAAGAACGUCUCAUAGAGUAACUGCUAUGAGAGUGACGGUACUUGAGAAGAAAGCCCCGGCUAACUACGUG